AGAGUUUGAUCCUGGCUCAGGAUGAACGCUGGCGGCGUGCUUAACACAUGCAAGUCGAGCGAAGCAGUUAAGAAGAUUCUUCGGAUGAUUCUUAACUGACUGAGCGGCGGACGGGUGAGUAACGCGUGGGUGACCUGCCCCAUACCGGGGGAUAACAGCUGGAAACGGCUGCUAAUACCGCAUAAGCGCACAGAGCUGCAUGGCUCGGUGUGAAAAACUCCGGUGGUAUGGGAUGGGCCCGCGUCUGAUUAGGCAGUUGGCGGGGUAACGGCCCACCAAACCGACGAUCAGUAGCCGGCCUGAGAGGGCGACCGGCCACAUUGAGACUGAGACACGGCCCAGACUCCUACGGGAGGCAGCAGUGGGGGAUAUUGCGCAAUGGGGGAAACCCUGACGCAGCAACGCCGCGUGAAGGAUGAAGGUUUUCGGAUUGUAAACUUCUUUUAUUUAGGACGAAGAAUGACGGUACUAAAUGAAUAAGCUCCGGCUAACUACGUGCCAGCAGCCGCGGUAAUACGUAGGGAGCAAGCGUUAUCCGGAUUUACUGGGUGUAAAGGGUGCGUAGGCGGCUUGGUAAGUCAGAUGUGAAAUGUAUGGGCUCAACCCAUGCACUGCAUUUGAAACUAUUGAGCUUGAGUGAAGUAGAGGUAGGCGGAAUUCCCUGUGUAGCGGUGAAAUGCGUAGAGAUAGGGAGGAACACCAGUGGCGAAGGCGGCCUACUGGGCUUUAACUGACGCUGAGGCACGAAAGCGUGGGUAGCAAACAGGAUUAGAUACCCUGGUAGUCCACGCUGUAAACGAUGAUUACUAGGUGUGGGGGGUCUGACCCCUUCCGUGCCGGAGUUAACACAAUAAGUAAUCCACCUGGGGAGUACGACCGCAAGGUUGAAACUCAAAGGAAUUGACGGGGGCCCGCACAAGCAGUGGAGUAUGUGGUUUAAUUCGAAGCAACGCGAAGAACCUUACCAGGUCUUGACAUCGAGUGACGAAUCUAGAGAUAGAUUUUUCCUUCGGGACACAAAGACAGGUGGUGCAUGGUUGUCGUCAGCUCGUGUCGUGAGAUGUUGGGUUAAGUCCCGCAACGAGCGCAACCCUUGCUAUUAGUUGCUACGCAAGAGCACUCUAGUAGGACUGCCGUUGACAAAACGGAGGAAGGUGGGGACGACGUCAAAUCAUCAUGCCCCUUAUGACCUGGGCUACACACGUACUACAAUGGAUGUAAACAGAGGGAAGCAAAAUAGCGAUAUGGAGCAAACCCCAAAAAGCAUUCUCAGUUCAGAUUGCAGGCUGCAACUCGCCUGUAUGAAGUUGGAAUUGCUAGUAAUCGCGGAUCAGCAUGCCGCGGUGAAUACGUUCCCGGGCCUUGCACACACCGCCCGUCA
rnacentral:rRNA from 1 species